AGAGACAGCAGUAGCCGCGGUAAUACAGAGGGUGCGAGCGUUAAUCGGAUUUACUGGGCGUAAAGCGUGCGUAGGCGGCUUCUUAAGUCGGAUGUGAAAUCCCUGAGCUUAACUUAGGAAUUGCAUUCGAUACUGGGAAGCUAGAGUAUGGGAGAGGAUGGUAGAAUUCCAGGUGUAGCGGUGAAAUGCGUAGAGAUCUGGAGGAAUACCGAUGGCGAAGGCAGCCAUCUGGCCUAAUACUGACGCUGAGGUACGAAAGCAUGGGGAGCAAACAGGAUUAGAGACCCGUGUAGUCCCUGUCUCUUAUAC
rnacentral:rRNA from 1 species